AGAACAUUUCUUCUCUCUGCUCCUCCCAUUAAUGGCGUCUUAAAAAACCAUACUUUCUUCAUAGCCGCCUGUAUAGACCAAAAUGUGACUCGCUAAACCGUUUGUAUCUUUGUGUGAUAUACCUUGGUGGGUUGUGAUUAAUUAGCGGAUUUCGGAUAUAAAAAUUGGAACUUUAUCUGAACUUUAUGUUCAAUUUCACUACCUCAACCCUAAGUGGUAACAGUGCAAUCUCCAAAUUCCGUGGUGCUGAGAACCAGCAAAAGCAUACUAUGGUGCCAACACUUGCUAUUUCUGCCCCUUUCAAUGUGGUUCCUUAGGCUGCUGACCUGGGGUUCGCUGCAACCACUUCUAGAGUGAUACCAGUGAUGCUGUAAGAGGAGAUGGUGAUGAAAGUGUAGCUCCAUUUCAUGUUCUUUCUGUACCAGCUGUGGGGACAAAUCCUGGUGAUGAAUUUAGCUUUUGCAUUAAGGAGAUCCAGGAACAGCGACGGUCAGCUGCAGGGUAGAAAGCUAUCAACAAGGAGCAACCGUGUGACUCGUUGCUGCACUCAACUAUGCUUAUCUACACCACAGAGGAAGUAACACUGGAAGUGGAAGAUAAGGAAAUUAGAGGUGAACUGAAGAAGAAGUUGCAGCAUAUGGAAGUGACAACUGGCAGCAUGCUUUUAAUUUCUGCAACAAACUUAUUAGGUUAUACUAGAAAAGAAAUGUGUAUUCCUCCAAGGCAGCCUAUACUGCCAGUACUACUGGAUCUUGCAAACAUCAGUUUCAACCCCCCAUAUAUGGGAAUGGGAUGAAGUUAUCUAAUGCAUGAUAAUACUAUGCUUGUAAACCUCAA